CCGCGCUCACACGACUGACCCCCCGCGGACCCGCACGGUUUGGUUACACUGUUAAUGAUCACAGAAAUGGGCCUAUAUAGUCAACUUUAGGCCUAGUCUACUACUACCAAUCUGUGGUAUUAUAAGCAUUUCAACUGCCAGAGAAAUGGAUGGAAAUGACCGAUGGACAAAUAUCAACCUGCUAUUGAUAACUAGGCGAUAGAGGGAGAGAGACAGCGAGUGAGCGAGAGAGUUAGAACCCUCAAUGUCUCAAAUCCUAAUCCUGCGAUAAGAAACAGCAGCCUUAGUUGGCCGGUGGUAGCUGGUCCCCUACAAGACGGUGAGGUGCCGGAGGUCCCUCCGCCCCCUCUAGACAUCAAGGGGUCCCCGGCGUACACAGUAUGUGCUAUUCUGGACUCGAGAAGCCGGGUGAGGGGCCUGCAGUACCUCGUGGACUGGGAGAGGUACAGCCCGGAGGAGAGGUGCUGGGUACCGGUGGGGGUACCGGUGGGGGACAUCCUGGAUCCAUCACUGUUGAGGGAUUUCCAUCGCCUCCAUCCGGAUCGCCCUACGCCUCGCCCUCCGGGUCGGCGCACUGCGGGAGCCGCGCGUCGGGGGGGAUACUUUCAGGAUUCCUACUGAGGGUGACUCCUCUCCCUGUUCGGGUGGCGCUCGGCGGUCGUCGUCACCGGCCUACUAGCUGCCACCGAUCCCUUUUUCCCUUUCUGUUUGUUUUGUCUAAUUAGUUUCACCUGUUUUCAUUUAGGCUUGUUAGUUGGGCUAUUUAAGCCAGUAGGCCCGCCUGUUCUUUGUGCGGACUUAAUGAUCCUUCCACUGUGUUCUGUGUGGUGGAUAGUAUAUUUUGGGCGUUUGUAUUUUGGUGCGCCCGACAUUUUGGGCAAAUUACUUUUGUGCGUAAUAAAGCGCAACCUUGAA
rnacentral:lncRNA from 1 species